rnacentral:misc_RNA from 1 species
GAUGAAGAACGUAGCGAAAUGCGAUACGUAAUGUGAAUUGCAGAAUUCAGUGAAUCAUCGAGUCUUUGAACGCACAUUGCGCCCUCUGGUAUUCCGGAGGGCAUGCCUGUCCGAGCGUCAUUGCUGCCCUCAAGCACGGCUUGUGUGUUGGGCCUCCGUCCUCCUCCCGGGGGACGGGCCCGAAAGGCAGCGGCGGCACCGCGUCCGGUCCUCGAGCGUAUGGGGCUUCGUCACCCGCUCUUGUAGGCCCGGCCGGCGCUUGCCGACACAUCAAUCUUUUUUCCAGGUUGACCUCGGAUCAGGUAGGGAUACCCGCUGAACUUAAGCAUAUCAAUAAGCGGAGGA